UGCUCCUCGAUCUCCUCCUACCGUGAGAACGAUCCUUAGACACAUGUGUAGAAUGCUCCGGCUCUUUACCCUCUCGCCGUGGCAUCUCCUUAUGCUUACUCCGCCUUUCGGACUGAACAUGGCUAGAUGCUUCGUCCCUUAACUCCGCCACUCGAAGCAUCUGGUCGGCUAUAUCUUCUUUCUACUUUAACAAAACCUCCAAGGCUUUAUCUGCUUCGUCCUUCAUCCUCGCCAACUUGGCAGCUCUGUCCUCCUGACCAUUUCGGCGAUGGAUCUUGGU
rnacentral:lncRNA from 1 species